AUGAACCUAUCUAGUUUAGAUGUGAUGCAGAAGAGAUUAAAGAAAGUCAACAAGUAUUUGGAAGGCCAAGUACUAAAGGACACGGUAGAUCUAACAGAUGAGCUUAAUGAUCUUGAAGAAUUGGAAGAGAUCCAACCCCUAACUAAUGAACAAUGGCUAGGAGUCGUCAUAUUCAAAGCUCUAUAUGAAUCUCUUGAAGAAGAGCAAUACUGGCAUAGGAGAUUAAGUGAAGACUGGAUGCUUAAGGGGGACAACAACACUAGCUGCUUUCACAGGAUUGCUAAAGAAGGAAAAAUUGUAUUUUCUCCUUGA
rnacentral:rRNA from 1 species